GAUUCUGGCUCAGGAUUAACGCUGGCGGCGUGCCUAAUACAUGCAAGUCGAAUGGUAGCAAUACCAUGGCGAACGGGUGAGUAACACGUAGGUAACCUGUCUUUAAGCCGAGGAUAACCAUUGGAAACGAUGGAUAAUACUGGAUAGGACAUUUGAAGGCAUCUUUAGAUGUUUAAAGAUUUAUCACUUAGAGAGGGGCCUGCGGCGCAUUAGCUAGUUGGUGAGGUGAAGGCUUACCAAGGCGAUGAUGCGUAGCCGGACUGAGAGGUUGAACGGCCACAAUGGAACUGAGAACGGUCCAUACUCCUACGGGAGGCAGCAGUAGGGAAUUUUCGGCAAUGGGCGGAAGCCUGACCGAGCAACGCCGCGUGAACGAAGAAGUAUUUCGGUAUGUAAAGUUCUUUUAUUAGGGACGAAAAGACAGAUUGACGGUACCUAAUGAAUAAGCUCCGGCUAACUACGUGCCAGCCGCAGC
rnacentral:rRNA from 1 species